rnacentral:rRNA from 1 species
GACGAACGCUGGCGGCGUGCUUAACACAUGCAAGUCGAGCGGUAAGGCCCUUUCGGGGGUACACGAGCGGCGAACGGGUGAGUAACACGUGGGUGACCUGCCCUCAGCUCUGGGAUAAGCCUGGGAAACUGGGUCUAAUACUGGAUAUGACUCCACGGUGCAUGUCGUGGGGUGGAAAGCCUUGUGCGGCUGAGGAUGGGCCCGCGGCCUAUCAGCUUGUUGGUGGGGNAUGGCCUACCAAGGCGACGACGGGUAGCCGGCCUGAGAGGGCGACCGGCCGACACUGGGACUAAGACACGGCCCAGACUCCUACGGGAGGCAGCAGUGGGGAAUCUUGCGCAAUGGGCGAAAGCCUGACGCAGUCGACGCCGCGGUGAGGGAUGACGGCCU